rnacentral:rRNA from 1 species
GACGAACGCUGGCGGCGUGCCUAAUACAUGCAAGUCGAGCGGACAGAAGGGAGCUUGCUCCCGGAAGUUAGCGGCGGACGGGUGAGUAACACGUGGGCAACCUACCCUGUAGAUCGGGAUAACAUCGAGAAAUCGGUGCUAAUACCGGAUAAUCAUUUGAAGUGCAUGCUUCGAAUGUAAGAGAUGGCUCCGGCUAUCACUACGGGAUGGGCCCGCGGCGCAUUAGCUGGUUGGUAAGGUAAUGGCUUACCAAGGCAACGAUGCGUAGCCGACCUGAGAGGGGGAUCGGCCACACUGGGACUGAGACACGGCCCAGACUCCUACGGGAGGCAGCAGUAGGGAAUCUUCCGCAAUGGACGAAAGUCUGACGGAGCAACGCCGCGUGAGUGAUGAAGGUUUUCGGAACGUAAAGCUCUGUUGUUAGGGAAGAACAAGUGCCGUUUGAAUAAGGCGGCACCUUGACGGUACCUAACCAGAAAGCCACGGCUAACUACGUGCCAGCCGCCGCAGUAACAC